rnacentral:lncRNA from 1 species
CCUUCCUGUGCCCGUGAUCUCUGACCCAGGCCUUUUCUUACACUGCAGGAAAGAGCCAGCAGUACCCAGAGGUGGGGUGGGACUCACCCAGUUGCAGACCGUGCCCUCAGGCUUUGGUGGAGAGAGGCUAAGGGGGCAGGGCUAAGUGCCUCCGGGAGGCUCAGGGGAGCCAGGAGGACUGUGUCUGGCCUGGGAGCUGUCCAGGUAUGAGUACAGCUAGCUCAGGGCCUGGGAGCCCACUCUCCCUGACUGCUCUCAGAGUCCAUGUUUGGCUGAAGUUAGCAAAUGUGGGUUUAGCUGUCAGGCUACAGAAAGGUCUGUAACCUUUCUGGGUCUCGGCAUCCUCCUCACUGAAAUGGGGAAGAAUAUGUCCUCCCAGGAGGCCCCAGGCCGCGGGACGAGAAGAUUGAGGGGGGCUUCCCUGCCCCCGAGGAAACAGUCCCACCUUGCUGCCUCCACACCCCCUUAACACUGCCAAGGGCACUCGGGUGAGUGCCACCAGGGCCUCUGCCCACGACUCCAUGUAUUUCCUAACUGGAAAGAGGCUAUAGCACCUCCCAGCCAGGCCAAGCCACCUGGAGAGAAAACCCACAGGGAAAAUCAUGAAAACUAUGACAUGCAACACAAGUCAAUCUUUAUUGAAAACUGCAGUAUUCAUACAGAACAAUUCUUGUUACAAUAAACGUGCUUUUAAGAAUUUUAAAUCUGAGCUCAUCUACUCAUCAGAUUGCAUAAAAAAUUAAAAUAGUAUGAAUUUACACACGAUGGAACUGGCUCAGGAUGACGCUCCAUUCCUUUGUAUUGACACCUGAAGUUCAAUGCAGAGGCAAGGGAUGCCUUUAACACUGGAAGACAAUGCUGACUUAAGCUUAAGAAAAGUACUAAGAGAACGGUCUAAAAAAACAGUAUUUAAAACUUAAAAAAAAAAAAAGGAACCGUUUCCUAGUCAGUCGUAUGUUGUAACCCAUGUGGCUCCUUGGGGCCUCUCCUCUGAGUGGCCGUCACAGCAACCCUGCAGGAGCGCACAUGAGCUGGUCUCCAAUCCAGCCCUACUAUCCUACCAACACUGGUCCAGACAAGGACCCACGGGAGCUGCGGCAGGGCUCAGGUGGCUGAUGCGACGCCUGUCCCCUCAGUGCACCAGGCCCGGGAGCACCCCACGUCCCGAGGCUCACGGCGGGUUCCUGCAGAGAUGCCUGCCUCUCCUCUGUCUACCCGUCCCAAGUAACUUGCACUUGAGUCCCGGGGACUCAAAUAAGAUUACCCCACAGGUUUUCUGUUCUUCAAAUGAAUAGGGGUGGGGAAAGAGACAAAUCCUCUGAAACAGGUAAGAUCAACUUUGAAACUUUCUACCCAAAAAGAUCAGACCCUCCUCUGCAGCGUGUCACCUUCAGAAAGCUCAUGAUGAGUAAUAAAAAACAACUCGGGGAAAAAACACAAACAUCUGAGAUGUGCUAGAGGAGAGCUAAGCACUCUGCCCCUCCCCUAAGCCAACCACACGUCUCUUUAGAGACACACCCUCCCCUUAAAAAGCACCAGAGAAGAACCAGAAGCUGCCUCCCACCUCAAGCCACGCACCCUUAAACCUGCCCUUGCACCCACUGGAGGGCGUCACAGGCGUCCUGUCCUGUCUGGGCAAUGUCCAGCCAUUAGCUGCCAGAUGGGGAGGAGGUGGCCCAACUGGUCAGAAUAAUACUGUUUCCAAGUGUUUACAAAGGGUAGGUGAAGAAGUCUGAUUUCUUUUUCUAAAGCAGGCCCCAAUAUUGAUGCGCUGGUGCCUGCCACCCUUUUGCCACCCACUGGCAGCCACACUCACAGAAAGCCACGUGGAGACAACACUGCCAGAUAUUAGCAUAUCCAAAGUGCCUUAAGACUAUCCUUCCUCUCAUCACUGAAGCGCUGAUGCCACCAGACAGAGCAAAGGCAUACUGCAUGCCCAGCUUGGGAAGGGCAGGAUGCUUACUGACCAGGUCCCCACCCCAAGGCUCAGGACCCCCUUCAUCUCCUGUAAAUAUGACAUUUGCAUAGCACUCAAGAAACAGACUCAGAGAAUAGCAACUGGCAGGCCUAAUAACCACACCAACAAGAAUGUUCUGGAAAGAUUUAAUACAAGAGACACAAAAGGUUCUGGAAGCACCUCCAGGCCGGUUAGCACAAAUGGCCCUGGCCCUGAUGCUGGCCUCACUUCCCAGAGGCAGCGAGCUGAUGGGACCACUACCAUCGCUAAACACUCGGUCACCGGCCCAGACCCCAACAAGACUUCCUUCAGCAGAGAAACAGACCUCCUACACCUUAGGGGAGAGGCUGGACAACAAAAAUGUUCUAAAAUAUCCAUGAUGAUGUCCAUGUUUAUAGGAAUUCAGUCCUGUGCUUGCCUGUCUCAACUUCUAAAAGAACUGUAAUUCAGCUGAAAGACUCUGAAAUUAGGAAUGUCACAUACAAAAAAGGCAAAAUUUCUCUGAAUGUUCCACUGUUGUGCCUGAAUAAUCAAAUUAUGCAAGUUUCUAACAGAAGUUCUAUGCCUUAAUUAAUUUUACCGGAAUUAAAUGCUUCUAAAAUGACAACCUAUGAUAGUUUUGUUACUAUUCCUAUGUCCAGAAUCUUACCUGCUAGAUAAGUUCUACUUUUCAUAUUUGAUAGCUGAUGCCCUGAUAGUUUCGAAAUUGAAAAGAUUUCCACACAGAUGUAUUCCAUAAAGCAAAAGUAUCUGAUAAAGUCUCCCAACUCACCUUUACAAAAGGGAAAAGAGAUUAAAAAAAAAUUAGAGGAGGAAAGUGUUUAUAAAGCUGAUGUAAAUGGGAGGAAAAUGCAACCCACUCUUCUCUUUCUCUUGAACACAUGAUUUAAUUCGGUGCUCAUGAGAACACUCACCUGCGUGCGCCAAGUCUCAAGCAAGCCUGGAGAAACAUCCUGUAUAACUUCUCAUCUUUCUCCUGAAUUCAAAUGACUCUUCCCGACCAGUAGUGGUGUGUGUGUGUGUGGAGGGUGUGUGUGGGUGUUUUCCUUUUGCUGUUUGGGGCUUUUUUAAAGCCUAUACUAAAAUUAUAUUUUCUCCUAAUCUAUUACACUAAAUUGGGGGACCCGACUUCUUGUUAUCUGGUCAGUUCAGCCCCUGGACUCCUUAGAACGUAUCAGUACUACACAGCAUCCACUAUACAAAUGGAAUGACCGACACAGAGUUGAAGAAGUGGACACAAACGGUGUGCCUGGGAUAAACGGCUACUACACACACACAUACACACACACAUACGUGGGCUAAGUGCUCAUGAAGCAAUUUAAAGUACUUAUCAGUAAACACAUUAUGUUAAUAGACAUUAGGAAUAAGGAAUCUUCUGUUUACAAUGAUCCAUGCAAAAGUGUUCCUAAAAUUCUUAUAAAAUAAAAUGUGAAAAAGAAAAUUAUGAAGAGUACUUACUACAAAAAAUAAAGUUACCAAAGGCUCAGGGGUCAGGUGUCCCACUCACCUACUGAGGUGGAAUGCCAAACCAGGGCCAGAGCCCUGACCUGGCUGCUGGAGACGCGAGAAGAGCAGCGGCCUCCCCAGGCAAAGCCUACAGCACGGCCACAGUCACACCCACCCCUGCCCGACAGACUUCUGAGAGGGAACAGAACCCUCACCCCGACCCCUGACUCUGAGAAGAGAAACACACUCCCAUCAAGUUGGGCACAUUUAGGCAAAAAAAAAUCCUCUUGACUUCUUAUGUACAACAUUCAGAUUUUGAACACAAACCCCUCUGUCAUGAAUCCCAGCAGGCAAGCACACUCUGACGCUGCCUGGCCCCUUGCUGUCCACACACACGUGGUGCUGAGCGCCCUCAGCUGCAAGAAGAGAUGGUAAAGGAGACGCACAGACAACAGGCCCCAGACCCUCCUCAAGCCUCCCCACAGUCGUCUCCUAGGAGCCCCUCCAAAGAGUCUCAGAGGACAAGUCUCCAUCAGGUGGAUGGGCCCAAACGGCCACGCCCUGCCUCUCUACAAGAAAGAAUCAAUUUCAAAGAGUUUUGUUCCCUUUUAAUAGUUGUUAAAUACAACUUUCUUCAUAACACAGCUGAAUCUUUGCCCUUCUCUGUGGGGAAGAACAGCAAUGCCUACACAUGUUUUCCCCUGAUUCAAACAUUUCUCAGGGAAAAAAAGGAAUGAUUUUCUAGGCUGAAUAAGGGAGAGGCCAAGACCCCCUCCAAGUGUGACUGUUUCUCAUUCAUAUACCUUCCAUACCAGGAAAACAAUUUAGUUCUACAUAGGACUUUUCCAAUAAAGAUACAGCAAACAGCAUUGCUAUCUGUAAGAGAUUGGUAAUGAAAAUUUAGACAGACAAGAUUGCUUUGCUGAUACGUAAACCACCUCUUGCCCCUAACUGUACUGGCCACACAACUCUACCCUUUCAUGAUAAUUGUUAAGAAUGUCCACAUCUCACUGACCCCACAGCCUAAGUGGAAAAAAAGGGAUGUGCACUGACCCAGCUGUACCCACAAGGCUGUGGCCCUCCCUCACUCCCCCGUCCUGCAACUCUCUCCCAGCACAGUCGGUGUGAAAGAAACAGACGGCAGAAACUCAGAGUCCAUGUGUCCAACUGGCAACCCACAUCAACCCCAAGAGGCUGAAGAAUCAUCUAAGAGACUGCAAAUGCUCUAUGAAGAAAUUCACUUUAACACUUACAACUUUAAGACUUUGCAUACGUUACAACAGUGCAUUAGGGAUACAAGUUGUAAAACACUUUCCAUUCCUUUGGAUUUUGCAUAUGAUGGGUUUGCAUCAGUCACUGCAGGUAGAUUGAGCAAGCUUUGUUUUUGUGUUUGUUUUUUUAAACAUGCAUUCAACUAGAUAUGAUUCUGAAUAGAUUAAUACUCCCUUUUUAUCAUUAUAGUUAGCUAAAAAAUUGCCAGGCAGCCCACAAAACAGGAUUUGCUGUAAGAACAACCCAGAGUCAGCUGGAGACUCAUGGCGCUGGGACCUGCUGGGCGGGCCGCAGGAGUGUUAGCUAAGUGUGGAGAGCAUUAGGAAGAAAGUCCGGGUUGGAGGCGCGAGGCCUGCAGCACCAGCUGUGGAACCUCCAUUAUGUGACCGCACAGCUCCAUCCUCAAACCUGGGGGAGAAAAGACAGACACAGUCACAGACCCUCUCUGGCACCACAGCUCCAAAGAGGAGGAUGAAAUCCAC